rnacentral:rRNA from 1 species
GACGAACGCUGGCGGCGUGCUUAACACAUGCAAGUCGAACGGAAAGGCCCUGCUUUUGUGGGGUGCUCGAGUGGCGAACGGGUGAGUAACACGUGAGUAACCUGCCCUUGACUGUGGGAUAACUUCAGGAAACUGGGGCUAAUACCGGAUAGGAGCUCCUGCUGCAGGGGGGGGGUUGGAAAGUUUCGGCGGUUGGGGAUGGACUCGCGGCUUAUCAGCUUGUGGGGGGGGUAGUGGCUUACCAAGGCUUUGACGGGUAGCCGGCCUGCGAGGGUGACCGGCCACCUUGGGCCUGAGAUACGGCCCAGACUCCUACGGGAGGCAGCAGUGGGGAAUCUUGCACAAUGGGCGGAAGCCUGAUGCAGCAACGCCGCGUGCGGGAUGACGGCCUUCGGGUUGUAAACCGCUUUCGCCUGUGACGAAGCGUGAGUGACGGUAAUGGGUAAAGAAGCACCGGCUAACUACGUG